GAUUAAGCCAUGCAUGUCUAAGUAUAAGCAAUUAUACAGCGAAACUGCGAACGGCUCAUUAUAUAAGUUAUCGUUUAUUUGAUAGUACCUUACUACUUGGAUAACCGUGGUAAUUCUAGAGCUAAUACAUGCUGAAAAUCCCGACUCCGGAAGGGAUGUAUUUAUUAGAUUCAAAGCCAAUGCCCUCUGGGCUCACUGGUGAUUCAUGAUAACUCUUCGAAUCGCACGGCCUUGCGCCGGCGAUGGUUCAUUCAAAUUUCUUCCCUAUCAACUUUCGAUGUUUGGGUAGUGGCCAAACAUGGUUGCAACGGGUAACGGAGGGUUAGGGCUCGACCCCGGAGAAGGAGCCUGAGAAACGGCUACUACAUCCAAGGAAGGCAGCAGGCGCGCAAAUUACCCAAUCCCGACACGGGGAGGUAGUGACAAUAAAUACUGAUACAGGGCUCUUUUGGGUCUUGUAAUUGGAAUGAGUACAAUUUAAAUCCCUUAACGAGGAACAAUUGGAGGGCAAGUCUGGUGCCAGCAGCCGCGGUAAUUCCAGCCCAAAAGCGUAUAUUAAAGUUGUUGUGGUUAAAAAGCUCGUAGUUGAACCUUGGGCCUGGCUGGCCGGUCCGCCUCACCGCGUGCACUGGUCCGGCCGGGCCUUUCCCUCUGUGGAACCCCAUGCCCUUCGCUGGGCGUGGCGGGGAAACAGGACUUUUACUUUGAAAAAAUUAGAGUGCUCCAGGCAGGCCUAUGCUCGAAUACAUUAGCAUGGAAUAAUGAAAUAGGACGCGCGGUUCUAUUUUGUUGGUUUCUAGGACCGCCGUAAUGAUUAAUAGGGACAGUCGGGGGCAUCAGUAUUCAAUGGUGAGAGGUGAAAUUCUUGGACCUAUUGAAGACUAACUACUGCGAAAGCAUUUGUCAAGGAUGUUUUCAUUAAUCAGGAACGAAAGUUAGGGGAUCGAAGACGAUCAGAUACCGUCGUAGUCUUAACCAUAAACUAUGCCGACUAGGGAUCGGACGAUGUUAUUUUUUGACUCGUUCGGCACCUUACGAGAAAUCAAAGUGCUUGGGCUCCAGGGGGAG
rnacentral:rRNA from 1 species